UUCGCCCUUAGAGUUUGAUCCUGGCUCAGGACGAACGCUGGCGGCACGCUUAACACAUGCAAGUCGAACGAGAGAAGAGAAGCUUGCUUUUCUGAUCUAGUGGCGGACGGGUGAGUAACACGUGAGCAAUCUGCCUUUCAGAGGGGGAUACCGAUUGGAAACGAUCGUUAAUACCGCAUAACAUAAUUGAACCGCAUGAUUUGAUUAUCAAAGAUUUAUCGCUGAAAGAUGAGCUCGCGUCUGAUUAGCUAGUUGGUAAGGUAACGGCUUACCAAGGCGACGAUCAGUAGCCGGACUGAGAGGUUGAUCGGCCACAUUGGGACUGAGACACGGCCCAGACUCCUACGGGAGGCAGCAGUGGGGAAUAUUGCACAAUGGAGGAAACUCUGAUGCAGCGAUGCCGCGUGAGGGAAGAAGGUUUUAGGAUUGUAAACCUCUGUCUUUGGGGACGAAAAAUGACGGUACCCAAGGAGGAAGCUCCGGCUAACUACGUGCCAGCAGCCGCGGUAAUACGUAGGGAGCGAGCGUUGUCCGGAAUUACUGGGUGUAAAGGGAGCGUAGGCGGGAUCGCAAGUCAGAUGUGAAAACUAUGGGCUUAACCCAUAAACUGCAUUUGAAACUGUGGUUCUUGAGUGAAGUAGAGGUAAGCGGAAUUCCUAGUGUAGCGGUGAAAUGCGUAGAUAUUAGGAGGAACAUCAGUGGCGAAGGCGGCCUACUGGGCUUUAACUGACGCUGAGGCUCGAAAGCGUGGGGAGCAAACAGGAUUAGAUACCCUGGUAGUCCACGCCGUAAACGAUGAUUACUAGGUGUGGGGGGACUGACCCCUUCCGUGCCGCAGCAAACGCAAUAAGUAAUCCACCUGGGGAGUACGACCGCAAGGUUGAAACUCAAAGGAAUUGACGGGGGCCCGCACAAGCAGUGGAGUAUGUGGAUUAAUUCGAAGCAACGCGAAGAACCUUACCAGGUCUUGACAUCGUAUGCAUAGCUCAGAGAUGAGUGAAAUCUCUUCGGAGACAUAUAGACAGGUGGUGCAUGGUUGUCGUCAGCUCGUGUCGUGAGAUGUUGGGUUAAGUCCCGCAACGAGCGCAACCCUUACUGUUAGUUGCUACGCAAGAGCACUCUAGCAGGACUGCCGUUGACAAAACGGAGGAAGGUGGGGAUGACGUCAAAUCAUCAUGCCCCUUAUGACCUGGGCCUCACACGUACUACAAUGGCUGUCAACAGAGGGAUGCAAAGCCGCGAGGUGGAGCGAACCCCUAAAAGCAGUCUUAGUUCGGAUUGUAGGCUGCAACCCGCCUACAUGAAGUCGGAAUUGCUAGUAAUCGCAGAUCAGCAUGCUGCGGUGAAUACGUUCCCGGGCCUUGCACUCACCGCCCGUCA
rnacentral:rRNA from 1 species